UUUUUUGCCCUCCUUUGUAUUUUAUUUCCUUUUAUCCUGCAUUUGUCCUCCGCUUCUGGGUAUCAUUCCCCAGAUUGUCCCGUUUUUAAUUUUCGAGUCUGCAUUUCAUUCAUUACUUCGGAUUAAUGAACCCAAAGUGUUCGGUGAUAUGCCUGAAACAACUAAACUAUUUGUUAGAAGUUUAUCACAGAAAAUAUUCCUGCUAAUAUGGAAGCAAUUGCUUCUGAGAAGCAGAGAGAACUAAUUAAUUGAAGCGGCCUUUGAGGUUUAUGAUGAGCUUGCUAAAGCAUUUCUGAUUUAGCUUCUUGUUAGUAAGUCACAUGCAUAUGCCGCUUGCUUUUUCUAUAAUUCUUUCGGCUCUUGUAGAAUUUGUACCGAUUUUAUUUGUUGCCUUUUUAGAGUUUGG